AAAAAGAAGCUGGAUCGAG
rnacentral:misc_RNA from 1 species